UACGUAGGGCGCAAGCGUUGUCCGGAAUUAUUGGGCGUAAAGAGCUCGUAGGCGGCUUGUCACGUCGAUUGUGAAAGCCCCGAGGCUCAACCUCGGGCUUGCAGUGGGUACGGGCAGGCUAGAGUGCGGUAGGGGAGAAUGGAACUCCUGGUGUAGCGGUGGAAUGCGCAGAUAUCAGGAAGAACACCGAUGGCGAAGGCAGUUCUCUGGGCCGUAACUGACGCUGAGGAGCGAAAGCGUGGGGAGCGAACAGG
rnacentral:rRNA from 1 species